rnacentral:tRNA from 1 species
AUUUAAGUAGUUUAUGUUAAAAUUUUGGUUUGUGGUGCCGACGAAGUAAUUUAUUUACCUUGAAUC